rnacentral:lncRNA from 1 species
GGUAAGAUCAGGGCAUCUGGGUUGCAUCAAGGAGUCUAGAUUAGGGUUAUGGCUGGGUUGAGUCAACUUUUUUCGAUGAGACUCGGUCUGGGUUUAGGAUCAGGGUUUGGUUUCUGAUUGAUGUCAGCAUUAGGGAGUCUAGAUUAGGUUUAAGGUUAGGGUUUAGCAUACAGAGGUGGCAUGAUGGCGGAGGUAAGGGGCGGUGGGUGGUGA